AUGAUUGGCAUAUACUCUUGGAAAUACCCCAACAGGCCUUGGGUUGGAUCGCAACUCCCUUGCACUUGUACUGACAUGCAGCUAUUCAACACCUCCACAACUGUCAAGCUCGGCGACGGUCAAAGGGCCAAGUUUUGGAGUAGUACGUGGUUAAGUGGAACAGCUCCUAAGGACAUUGCCCCAAACCUCCACAAGCUUGCAAGGAGGAAAAAUUCUUCUGUGGCUGCUGCUCUCCACCAAGGCCGCUGGAUGAAAGGAAUCGAACGUCUUAGCACCACUGAAGACCUGCUUUCUUUUAUUGACCUUUAGCACCGGAUUCAAGGGAUUACUCUUUCGGAUCAUCCAGACGACAUUGAAUGGAAAUGGAACGACAGCAAAACGCACACUGCUGCUGCCUAUGAUGCCCAAUUCAUCGGAACCAUUGCGAAGCCAGAGUUAAAUGCCAUUUGGAAAGCAAAGGUGGAGGGAAAAAUCAAAUUUUUUGCUUGGCUGCUAGCUCAAAAUAGACUGCCAACUGCUGACCGUCUCUGUGCGAGAGGAUGUGAACACAAUGAUACCUACUCCCUCUGCGAUCAAACGAUUGAGACUGCCGCCCACCUGAUCAGUUCCUGCCCUUUUGCAAAGGAAGUGUGGCAGAAGAUUAUUGUCAUGCUCCCUAACUGUCAGCUACAAACAACCUUGCCGUUCACCUCUACCACAUCCUGGUGGAGAAGCUUUGCCUACGGGCAGCAAAACAAGGCAGCAGCUGCGCUUUACUUCGCCUGGAACAUCUGGAAUGAGCGAAACUGA
rnacentral:rRNA from 1 species